GUCUACAACCAUACCCCCUGAACUCGCCUGAUCUUGUUUGAUCUCGGUAGCUAAGCAGGGUCGGGCCUGGUUAGUUUUUGGAUGGGAGAAAGAGAAAGAGAAAUACAGUAUAUU
rnacentral:rRNA from 1 species